GCUCCCAGCUUCCUACUUGCCCCAGCAGCACGGAGCUUUCCUGUAACACACAUUUCCCCUAUCCUCUGACAUUCCUCUAAAUUAUUGAUCUGGGCAAUUUGGUGCAAGCGUCUGUAGCAUGUUUCAGAGAGAGAAGACUGAAAGUUGUCUAGCUUGGAGAAGCAAUAUUUUUAGUACAGAGGCUCAGUUUGUUGCCAGUUGGUUUAUGCCGUUUCUAGAGCAUCAUUCGCUAUGCACUUAAUCCAUGCUCAUCAUACCUCCUUAAUGUAAAUAUGUUUUUGGCAGAGGCAAAAUGAAAACAUUUUGCCCUCCAUAUUAUUCUUAUUAGCACCUACCUUUCCUCAAAGCUGAUCACCCUGCAAAAUGGCAAAUUUGUACACAGCCAGUGAUUUAGAUAAGUUAGAAGGGAAAUGAGAGAGGUAAGAUUGAAGGAUGUGUGUGUGUCUGGGGAGAGUGCUUUUUCUACAUCUGUGAAGGUUUUUUCCUCUCUCAGGAAAGGGAACCAAUUGUGGUUUCCUAAUUUCAAGUCAAUCUAUAUCUUCAACCUUCUCUUUGUGUGUGUGUGUGUGUGUGUGUGUUUUACCUAAUUACUUUAAAAAAAAAGAUAAUGCAAUGGGCAUUAUUAGGCCAGCAGAAAUGAAUUCACAAGGAAGGGGCCAGGAAUUUUUUCUCUCAUUUUAUCUGACCCAGAACCACCAAGACACAGGCCAGAGCUGACUUUUGCCCCAGGCACUUUUGACCACCCAGCACCUUUCUUUCUUCAACAUCCUCUUUCUAGAUUUUCAGUCGAGACAGGUAAGGGUAUAAGUGGCCUCUCAGAGGUUUGUAUCAAAAUUUUACUUGUAGGGUAGAGGGACUAAGUGACAGAAUACUUUAAGAGGGUGGAGGAGAAAUUUAACAGUCCUCUCAUGCAGACGGAGGGUGACAUUCAAAUGGGAGAAUUUACUUCUGUGGUUUGCUACUGUUUCAUUCUUUCCCUUAUCAUUGGUAGUGUUGUUAGGUGGCAGGGUUGUGGGGCAGAGUGGGGUUUCGCCCUGGGGGAGCAUAUGUGGCAGAGGGCACAGGAAGAUCUGUAAGCAAGAGGGCAUAGCAAAUUAAAUGACCACACUGUCAGGAAGGUUGACAGGCCAAAGAAAGAUCAGCUCCUCCAAAUCUGCUGAACUAACUCUCCCCUCGUAGCCCCAGACACGUUUUCUCAAUUUGAGCACAAUAUCCAUUACUAUUUCCCGUACUGGGUUUCAAUUAAAGAGAGUGAGAGUAGAAAGUUCACUGGUGUUUGGGGGUUCAUUUAUUUCCAAGCAGGAUGCAAAUGAAAGGGAGCCGUGGGCACAGAGUUGUCAUGUGUGUUUUUCCUCCCUCUUCUUUCCAUUUCCUUCUUGCAACCUUCCCUCCACUUCUUGCCAGCCACCCAGCACACCCGUGUUCCCAAAGCAAAUGUUUUCAUGUCUUGAAAAUCCAGUUAGGGUGAGGAGAGAAGGAAGGUGAUAACAUCAUACCUACUGAUGCCCCCUAGAGAUGAAGCUGUCCUGGGGGCACUUAAGGCUUGAGGGAAGGAUUUACCUUCUCGAGAUGGGCACAGGAAUUGGGGUAGUGUGAGCACUUGAAGGGUUCCAGGUUUUACUGUUGCACUGAAAACAGAUGCAAUCCCUCCUGCUGUAACAUGCCCCUAUGGAAAAAAUCUAGCCUUCUGUGCAGUUAUCCUGUUUUGGUCCUAGAACACAGGGUGGUGAUCUUGCUUCUCUGGGGGGUGCCAGGCAAAUAGAAGACGUGAAAAUCUGCUGCCAAGGUCAGGAUGUAGGUCCUGGAUUCAGGAUCUUGACCCCAGGCCUGCCCUGUCACCGAGCAGUGGUCUCACAACCAGGCAAACUCUCUGGCCAAACUCACUUCACACAAACUUGAGCUGAGCACCAGCCCUCCAACCCCCUCCACCUUCUAUGAUCACUGACUUUGUACCAUGGCCACACAGACCACUGGGCAGAAGAGUAGCUGCAGGGUGUCGGUCUUAAUUUCAUGACACUCUGCGUAGCCUCCUCCUCCUUCCACGUCAGCAAAAGAAACUAGAGGCCUCAACAAUGUGACUGUAUUUUGAGUUGGGAUGUGUCCCUCCCAAAUCAAUCAUCCCGGCUCCAAAUAAUACAAACAAAUUCUACAUAUUUUAAAAUGUCCCAAGUCUUGUAUGAUAUCCAGGGACCGAUUAGUGCCGACUGGAGAGACUAUUCCCUCUCCCAUUCCGAAUAAAGGGUUAGGUGAAGGUUGUGGCCCGAGAGAUCCCAGAAGCCCUUAAAAGUCUUUAGCUUGGGGUUUGAAUAAUGAGGGCUAGAUAAGUUUGUUUUCUCUUCCUUUCAAAAAUUUUUUUAUUUUAGAGGAAGGGGAAUGAGGAAGGCGCACGCGCGCGCUCACACACACACACACACACACACACACACGCAGAAAGAGAGAAAAUGUUUGGAAUUGUGAAAGUGCCUUUCCUAGUAGUUGCUUUUACUGGCGCCCGGGCCUCAAUUCAUUUCAUCUCUGAACCAGAUACUAAAAAUCCUCCAGGCGAGUGGAGAGGACCGGCCUUCCUGGAUCGGGAACCUGCCCUCUGUCUUCCCUCGCAGCGCCCUUUCCUCCUUUCGCUUGGGAAAGGAAGAUUUCGAGCCCCAGGAAGGAGUUGGGAGUGAGCGACAGCCCAGAGCGUCCCAUAAGGUCCUUUUGGCCAUGUUUCUGCCCCGGGGGGCUUCACCUAGAUCCCCCACCCCACCCCUUACCCCUGUUGCAAAUACGUAAGCUGGACGCGCCUCGGUGCGGAUCCAGGCCUCGCUGAGCACGGAACCGGAGAAGCAGCUCACGGCCUCGGAUUCUACUCUCACCCAAGGGUGGAAGGGGGUGACAGGGCUCGGAUCUUGCCCCAAACGCUGCACAGGCCCGCAGGAGAGCAAAGAGGUCUCGGACAGGCUGUCCUUCCCCAGCUCUCGGUCGCGACAAGGUCCCGACAGGCCCGGGAACCGGCGAACCGCCUGCAGCUGCUAUCGACAACACUUACAGCCUCCAGAAAUGACCCUUGGUGCCGACUUGUCUGGAAGCCAUCAGGGUUAGUUUUGAAGCAGGAAUCUUCAAGUGGACCAGAGGGUUGUCUUCUGCUCCUGAUCUGGUUGGCUGGAGACACUUAGAAGCUAUGGCCUUUCACCUGUAAGAGUUUCAAUUUGCUUCAAGGAAUGAAGUAACAGCUGUGAAAGUUCUUUGUGAACCAUGAAGCAAUCCUGAUGUGUUGAUUUUUUUUUUCUCACUUCUUUCGUUAUUGGGUUAAGGACAGGAAUUGAGACAGGGUCUCUCUUUGUUGCCUAGGCUGGAGUGCAGUGGAACGAACUUGGCUUAUUGAAGCAUUGACCACCUGGACCCAAGUGAUUCUCCUACCUUAGCCUCUUGAAUAGCUGUGACAACAGGUGUGCACUACCACACCCAGAUAAAUUUUGUAAUUUUUAUAGAGAGGGCAUUUGACCAUGUUGCCCAGGCUGGUCUCAAACUCCUGAGCUCAAGUGAUACUCCUGCCUCGGCCUCCCAAAGUGCUGGGAUUACAGAUGAAGAAAAUGAGGCACUGAGAGAUUACAUAACUUCCCUUGAGUCAUAUUUGCUUGUAAGUGGUAAGGCUGGAUGUUGAACCCAGGACAAAGGGAGCCCAGUGGAGGAUCCCUGGAGGAGCAAAUAGAAGAAACCCAAAAGGGACUUGAAAGCGGGUCCCCUCCCUCACCUGGAUUCCCAGUCCGAAGAGGAGGAAGCAUCCGCCCUCCUUCCCUCCUUCUGACCCACCCAGCCACCCACCCAAGGUGCCAUUAAAGUUAAUUGU
rnacentral:lncRNA from 1 species